rnacentral:rRNA from 1 species
AUUGAACGCUGGCGGCAGGCCUAACACAUGCAAGUCGAACGAGUGGCGGUCGGGUGAGUAAUGUCUGGGACACUGCCUGAUGCAGGGGGAUAACUACUGGAAACGGUAGCUAAUACCGCAUACCAUCAUUUGUGCCCAGAUGGGUGUAUCUUGUUGGUGGGUUAACGUCUCACCGAGGCGACGAUCCCUAGCUGGUCGGAGAGGAUGACCGGCCACCCUGGAACGGGUACAGGGUCCAGACUCCUACGGGAGGCAGCAGAGGGGAAUAUUGCACAAUGGGCGCAAGCCUGAUGCAGCCAGGCCGCGUGGAUGAAAAAGGCCUUCGGGUUGUAAAGUACUUUCAGCGGGGAGACGUUACCCGCAGAAGAAGCACCGGCUAACUCCGUGCCAGCAGCCGCGGUAAUUC